GUUCGAUCAGGCAGGCGGCGAGUGAGCCGGUCGACUGGCGGUCGACCAGGCCGAAGCCGUAGUCGAGUUCGGCCUCCCAGUCGUACG
rnacentral:tRNA from 1 species